rnacentral:tRNA from 2 species
GCCGAAGUGGCGGAACUGGCAGACGCGCGCGACUCAAAAUCGCGUUCCUUCGGGAGUGUGGGUUCGAUUCCCACCUUCGGCA